UACGUAGGGCGCAAGCGUUGUCCGGAAUCAUUGGGCGUAAAGAGCUCGUAGGCGGCCUGUUGCGUCCGCUGUGAAAUCCCGGGGCUUAACCCCGGGCGUUCAGUGGAUACGGGCUGGCUGGAGGCAGGCAGGGGAGAACGGAAUUCCCGGUGUAGCGGUGAAAUGCGCAGAUAUCGGGAGGAGCACCGGUGGCGAAGGCGGUUCUCUGGGCCUGUACUGACGCUGAGGAGCGAAAGCGUGGGGAGCGAACAGG
rnacentral:rRNA from 1 species